rnacentral:sRNA from 1 species
AUAGGCGAAGAGAUUGAAGUGGCCACUC